GAGGCUGGAAGCAGAGGGUGGAAUGCAUGCUUUGAAGGUGGAGCCACCUGCUUUGUAGGGGUCCUGUAGCAUCUGGAAAAGACAAGGACUCAGAUUCUCCCUCAGAACCCCCUGGAGGAACCAAGCUCUACUGACACCUUGAUUUUAGACGUCGGACCUCUGGAACGAGAGAAGCAGAGACCAGGACAGAGAGAAGAGGAAGGUAAGAAGACGGAGGCAGAGACCGGAGUGAUGCGGCCACAAGCCAAGGAACGCCAGAGCUACUAGAAGGUGGAAGAGACAAGACACACAUCUUCCCUAGUGUGCCUGGAGGGAGGGCAGCCCUGCUAGAUUUACAACUUCUGGCCACCAGAACUUUGAAAUGAAUCUGCUGUGUUAAGCCCUGUAGUCUGUGAUAAUUUGUUAUAGCAGUCCCAGGAAGAAAAGAUAUAACCAGACUUCCCUUAUACCUAUUAGAAGCAUGAAAUGCACAGGUACAUGAGAAAACAACUUUGGUAGACCUGUGUAUGUUGGCAAACACAAAUAAUCCAUUCAUUCCAGAUACUUACUGAGCAUCUAUUAGGUGACAGACACAGUUCUAGGUGCUGAGGAUAUAGUCAGCAGAGAACACAACAAAGAUGCGUGCCCGCCUGGAGCUGACAUUUCA
rnacentral:lncRNA from 10 species